rnacentral:lncRNA from 1 species
CCAAUGAGUGACCCUGAGUGACCCCUGAAUGACCAAUGAGUGACCAAUGAGUGACCAAUGAGUGACCAAUGAGUGACCCUGAGUGAUGUCACCUGUCUCACCUGUCCCUGUCUCACCUGUCUCACCUGUCCGUCUCUCACCUGUCCAUCUCUCACCUGUCUCACCUGUCUCUCACCUGUCCGUCUCUCACCUGUCUCUCACCUGUCUCACCUGUCUCUCACCUGUCUCUCACCUGUCCAUCUCUCACCUGUCCAUCUCUCACCUGUCUCUCACCUGUCUCUCACCUGUCCCAGGUGGGCGGGGACGUCCCAGAGACCAAUUACCUGUUCAUGGGCGACUUCGUCGACCGCGGCUUCUACAGCGUCGAGACCUUCCUGCUGCUGCUGGCCCUGAAGGUGCGGUACCCGGACCGGAUCACGCUGAUCCGGGGGAACCACGAGUCCCGGCAGAUCACGCAGGUUUACGGCUUCUACGACGAGUGCCUGCGCAAGUACGGCUCCGUCACCGUGUGGCGCUACUGCACCGAGAUCUUCGACUACCUGAGCCUGUCGGCCAUCAUCGACGGCAAGAUUUUCUGCGUGCACGGCGGCCUCUCGCCG